GACGAACGCUGGCGGCGUGCCUAAUACAUGCAAGUAGAACGCACAGUUUAUACCGUAGCUUGCUACACCAUAAACUGUGAGUUGCGAACGGGUGAGUAACGCGUAGGUAACCUGCCUGGUAGCGGGGGAUAACUAUUGGAAACGAUAGCUAAUACCGCAUAAUAUUGAUUAUUGCAUGAUAAUUGAUUGAAAGAUGCUAUUGCAUCACUACCAGAUGGACCUGCGUUGUAUUAGCUAGUAGGUGAGGUAACGGCUCACCUAGGCGACGAUACAUAGCCGACCGGAGAGGGUGAUCGGCCACACUGGGACUGAGACACGGCCCAGACUCCUACGGGAGGCAGCAGUAGGGAAUCUUCGGCAAUGGACGAAAGUCUGACCGAGCAACGCCGCGUGAGUGAAGAAGGUUGUCGGAUCGUAAAGCUCUGUUGUAAGAGAAGAACGGGUGUGAGAGUGGAAAGUUCACACUGUGACGGUAUCUUACCAGAAAGGGACGGCUAACUACGUG
rnacentral:rRNA from 1 species